rnacentral:rRNA from 1 species
AUUGAACGCUGGCGGCAUGCUUUACACAUGCAGGUCGAACGGCAGCGCGGGCUUCGGCCUGGCGGCGAGUGGCGAACGGGUGAGUAAUACAUCGGAACGUGCCCAGUAGUGGGGGAUAGCUCGGCGAAAGCCGGAUUAAUACCGCAUACGACCUGAGGGUGAAAGCGGGAGAUCUUCGGACCUCGCGCUAUUGGAGCGGCCGAUGGCAGAUUAGCUAGUUGGUGGGGUAAAGGCCUACCAAGGCGACGAUCUGUAGCUGGUCUGAGAGGACGACCAGCCACACUGGGACUGAGACACGGCCCAGACUCCUACGGGAGGCAGCAGUGGGGAAUUUUGGACAAUGGGCGAAAGCCUGAUCCAGCAAUGCCGCGUGUGUGAUGAAGGCCUUCGGGUUGUAAAGCACUUUUGGCGGGAACGAAAAGGACUGUGCCAAUACCACGGUUCGAUGACGGUACCCGCAGAAUAAGCACCGGCUAACUACGUG